GUGCCAUAACGAGCGCAACCCCUGUCUACGGUUGCCAUCAGGUAAUGCUGGGAACUCCGUAGAGACUGCCGUAGUAAGGCGUGAGGAAGGUGGGGAUGACGUCAAAUCAGCACGGCCCUUACAUCCGGGGCGACACACGUGUUACAAUGGUAAGGACAAAGGGCAGCUACCUGGCGACAGGAUGCGAAUCUCUAAACCUUAUCACAGUUCGGAUCGGAGUCUGCAACUCGACUCCGUGAAGCUGGAUUCGCUAGUAAUCGCGCAUCAGCGAUGGCGCGGUGAAUACGUUCCCGGGCCUUGUACACACCGCCCGUCAAGCCAUGGGAGUCUGGAGUACCUAAAGUCCGUAACCGCAAGGGUCGGCCUAGGGUAAUACAGGUGACUGGGGCUAAGUCGUAACAAGGUAGCCGUACCGGAAGGUGCGGCUGGAACACCUCCUUUCUGGA
rnacentral:rRNA from 1 species